UAGGGAUUUGAGAAUAGGUUAAGGUUUAGGUUUAGGAAAUCGGGUUUGGGUUCAGGAUCGGGUUUAGGUUUGGGUUUUCAAGUUUAGGUUUAAGUUUAGGUUAGGGAGUUUAGAUUAGGAUUAGGUGUAGGUUUAGGUUUAGGGAUUUGAGAAUAGGUUAAGGUUUAGGUUUAGGAAAUUGGGUUCGGGUUCGGGAUCGGGUUUUAGGUUUGGGUUUUCAAGUUUAGGUUUAGGUUUAGGUUAGGGAGUUGAGAUUAGGAUUAAGUGUAGGUUUAAGUUUAGAGAGUUGAGAAUACAUUUAGGUUUUAGGUCAUAGGUUUUGGUUUAGGUUAAGGUUAUAGGUUUAGGUUAAGUUUUAGGUUUAGGUUUAGGUUAUAAGCUAUAGGUUUAGGGAAUUGUGAAUAGGUAAAGGUUUAGGUUUAGGAAAUCGGGUUUGGGUUUGGGAUCAGGUUUAGGUUUGGAUUUUCAAGUUUAGGUUUAAGUUUAGGUUAGGGAGUUGAGAUUAGGAUUAGGUGUAGGUUUAGGUUUAGGGAUUUGAGAAUACAUUUAGGUUUUAGGUCAUAGGUUUAGGUUUUAGGCUUAGGUUUAGGUUAUAAGUGUAGGUUAUAGGUUUAGGUUU